CCUAGGAGAGCGGGGAUCGCGUCCCGCGUGUGGCGUUUCCUCGCUCUGUUGUUUGUGUAAAGCCAACCCCGUUUUUCUUUUCCUAAACCCAACUGUCGCUUUCUUCUCGCAAUAACACGUUCUCGCGAUAACACGCCACGUGGCGUGUAUGUUUAUGUCCGCUGUAGACAUACACGCGGAUAGCUCAAAAUGUGUACAGAUAACACGCCACUUGGCUUAAGAAGGUCGGCGUGUAUGUUUACACGAAGUCAUGAUGUCAAAUUGUCACAAAAGUCACUUUGCGAUAUUACGGAAAUGAUGCGUGCCACUUUGUUAAGUAAGUAAAUCUCAGUUUUCUCUGAGCAAAUGUCAAACUCCUUUCAGGCCUGUUUAACAGAGCAGAUCAAUGAACUGGCUCAGAUGCGUCUUGUUAAAAUGAUAUUUUGUUGCACAUAUUUAAAAGCACAGGUGAUGGUAAUAUUUUUAACACCGAUUAGAAAGAAUGUUAACACUUUUCAAAACAUGUUACGACUCCUCUAAACCUGCCAUCUUGACUGCUUUAUUCCCACAAAAAAAAGGCAUCCGAGCUUUAAAAUGUCAGUUGUUGUUGACUUUAAAAAGUAAUUCAAAACGAAGCAAACCUUGUGGGUGUUAAAGGUGGAGUUGGGGAACUGACCUCUGACUGGUUUUAUUGGGUGUCUCCUGUAGGAAGAAGAGGAUCUGAAUGUGCUGAACUUGAUGCAGUACCGGCCGCCAUUGUGCCCUUUAACAGCACCAUUCUCUGCAGUUUAAAAAAAAAAAAGGAUAACAAUGGCUACACAUUACUUUUCAUUUCACCGCUCUACUGUAUGAGAUUUUUUUAAGCAUUGACUUUCAUAAACACUACACAAAGAAUAAAUGUUAUGUUGCAGCUGUGGCUGCUUUGACAAAGUGAAUCGAUUAUGAUUGUUUAGUAACGCUUGAAGGUAUCUACAUAAGAGUGACAUGACACUGUCAUGAACACGUGUUCAUGACAGGUAAAGUGUAACCUUGUUUUCUUACCGCCAACCGGAGGUUUGUGAAGAUGACUAAAUGGUGAUUUCAUUAUGAGUGUUCCUCUGAACUUACAUUUUAAGACUUGUUUAAGAGGUUUUAAAACAUGAAUAAAUCUAUGUUUAGACUGCUACAGUAGCUUCAUUCCCCCGGUGUGUGUGUGUUUUGAAUGCAUGUUAUCCUGUUCCCUCUGGGAUUUGUAUUCCAGAUAAAAGCUUUCACUAAGUUGCAGAUGUUAAAUUACAGGAGUGACUUUUUAGUUGAGAGGCACUCUUCGAAAUGGAAACAUCCCAUCCUACCCUGAGAGCAGAACCGUGAUGUGAAAUUACAUUUACUUUAGGAGCGCGAGGUCCCUGGUGGCUGCAUGAACUCUGAAAAAAUAAAGCAGGCAGCCGUCAGGAGGGCGACCCAUUCACACAUGUAGCAGGCGCCCUGUGGAACUCCAACACAGACAGCAUCCCAGUCAUACAUCAGCCGGACAGCUUAGACUUGAAAGGGGAGAGAGAGGGAGAACGACACGCAGCAAAGGGUCACGGGUCGGAAUUAAACCCACGACUGCUGCAGCGAGGACCGAGCAUUUGUACAUGGGGCGCACGCUCCACCAGGUGAGCUACCCAGGUGCCCCGGGAACAAAGUUUUUUUUAAUAAACGUAUUCAUUCCUGGGAUAGAAAACCUACAACCUCAGACAUUUUUAACUCUAGUCCUGAAAUCCAGACAGUUUGAGUUCAUAGACAGAAAUGGAAUUGCUGUAAUAACUAUUUUGAUAAUUGAUUAAAGUAAGUAAUUUAUCAUGUAAAGAAUACUAAACAGUCGCUCAUUCCAGCUUCUCGGGUUUUCUCGCGGUUCUCUGUUUCUAUAUGAUUUUAAAUUGAAUAUCUUUAGGUCUUGGACUGUUGGACAAAACAGGCAAUUAAAAGAAGCCCCAGUGGACUUUUUGAAAUGGUGAGGGCUAUUCUUUUACUAGCUGCAGGCCUGUCGCACACCAUUACAUUUCAUUUCAAACUCAAGGUGUUUUUUGAAGCAUGUCACAUUAUGGCUCAGCUCUUAGAAUAGGAUGUGAUGAUUCUGCAUUUCACAGUUCUAGUGUCGUAUUUUCCACCAACGUACAA